CCUGAUGCAGCAACGCCGCGUGAGGGAUGACGGCCUAUCGGGUUGUAAACCUCUUUUAGUAGGGAAGAAGCGAAAGUGACGGUACCUGCAGAAAAAGCACCGGCUAACUACGUGCCAGCAGCCGCGGUAAUACGUAGGGUGCAAGCGUUGUCCGGAAUUAUUGGGCGUAAAGAGCUCGUAGGCGGUUUGUCGCGUCUGCUGUGAAAUCCCGAGGCUCAACCUCGGGCUUGCAGUGGGUACGGGCAGACUAGAGUGCGGUAGGGGAGAUUGGAAUUCCUGGUGUAGCGGUGGAAUGCGCAGAUAUCAGGAGGAACACCGAUGGCGAAGGCAGAUCUCUGGGCCGUAACUGACGCUGAGGAGCGAAAGCAUGGGGAGCGAACAGGAUUAGAUACCCUGGUAGUCCAUGCCGUAAACGUUGGGCGCUAGAUGUAGGGACCUUUCCACGGUUUCUGUGUCGUAGCUAACGCAUUAAGCGCCCCGCCUGGGGAGUACGGCCGCAAGGCUAAAACUCAAAGGAAUUGACGGGGGCCCGCACAAGCGGCGGAGCAUGCGGAUUAAUUCGAUGCAACGCGAAGAACCUUACCAAGGCUUGACAUACACCGGAAACGGCCAGAGAUGGUCGCCCCCUUGUG
rnacentral:rRNA from 1 species